CAGAUAUUUAACUUCCAACAACGUUAUCUCUCCUUCACACUUUCUAUGACAAAAUUCCACAGAACGCGAAGACCUAAGCUAACAGUGACCUUCGAGUUCUCAUCAAAACCAUGUCUGGUCUUCCUCUUGAGAUGAUAGCAGAAAUCCUCUGCAGAUUACCAGCAAAGGAACUUCUUUGUUGCAGGUCUGUAUCUAAACCAUGGUGUGCUUUAAUUGAUGGUCCAAACUUCGUUAAAUUACAUUUGAAGCACUCUAUGGACACAAGUUCCAAUCUUUACAUCAUCCUUAGAACUACUUCACAUGUUCACUACAUGGAUUUUGAGCAAAAUUUAGUCUUAAAUGACUGUGUUACUCUGAAAGAGUUGAAUCAUCCUUUGAUGUGUUAUAAUCAUGGGAUUAAAGUUUUAGGUUCUGUUAAUGGGUUGCUUUGCAUUUCUAAUGUUGUUGAUGAUAUUGCUGUGUGGAACCCAUCAACUAGAAAGCAUCGUGUGGUGCCCUUUUUGCCUAUUGAGCUGAAAAGGUAUUUUGGGACCAAGUCUUGUAGUGUUUAUGUGUUUGGAUUUGGGUAUGAUAGUGUUAGGGAUGAUUAUAAGCUUGUUAGGAUUGCGCAAUUUGGAGGUGGGGGGAAGAGGAGUUUUGAGUCUGAGGUUAAGGUAUAUAGUUUGAGGAAACAAUCGUGGAGGAGGAUUGGUGAUAUGCCUUAUUGUGUUCACUAUCCUGGUGCAAAUGGGGUUUUCGCUAAUGGUGCUUUACAUUGGGUUGUGGGUGAGAAUCCUGAAUCGAAUGUGGCAAAUAUAGUUGUUGCAUUGGAUUUAGGAGUCGAGGAUUAUAGGGAGGUGCUGCAACCUGAGUAUAAGGAUAAGAAUUUUUAUAUUGAUUUGGGGGUUUUGAGAGGAUGCCUGUGUUUUCUUGCAAAUUUUCUAGGCGAACGUGUUGAUGUGUGGAUGAUGAAAGAGUACGGGGUAAAGGAGUCCUGGACUAAACUGUUUUCAGUUGCACAGUAUGAGGUCAUUGGGUUUCUUAGAUCUCUUAAGCCUUUAGCUUAUUCAAAGAGUGGUGAUGAAGUUCUCAUCGAACACGACAAUUUGGACCUUUGCUGGUAUGAUCUGAAGAGGAAACAAGUAAAGAAUAGGAUUCCUGGUAUACCAUAUUCCUUUGAAGCUGAUACUUUUGUUGAAAGCCUUAUUUCUGUCAGUCCGAAUAGGCAUCUUGAUGGAAGGACACAGGAUGAAGAUGAGGACUCAAAGGAUAGGAAUAAGAGGGAUGAUUUCUUGUCCGAGGGGUUCAAAUUGGUCUUAUAAUUCACCAGAAGAAACAGCAGAGAAAACAUGGAAAAGAGGGCUGAUACUGGCGGAUGGAGAUUUAAUUGAGCAUAUGAGAAAUUUUGCAGAUGAAGCAAAGAAUGGAUAAAAACUAUGCUCAUUAUAUAUGUCAUGCACUCACAUGCGUCUUUCUUAAUGAAAAGGUACUUGGUCAGAAGAUGGAGCACUUAACAGUUGUAGUUAGCAACCUAGUAUUUGAGUGGUUUGGCUGGUGAGUGAUGUGGCAUGACUAGUUCAUCAAUACCUCCAUCUGAACCAGAAGUUUAGGGAAAGAUGGGCUGAUAUAUUUGGUUGAACGUGCUUGGGUUGCAAAAACGCAAUUUGGUUGAGAGUUAUGAGCCAUGUCUAUGUACAUUUAGCCAAUGCUUGCUCUUAGUGUUAAACCUAUUAGUGCCAAUUUUUUUUAAAAUAAAAAUAAAAAUCAGGCUUCAUAAAUGUAUGAUAAAGCUACCAUGCUAGAAAGGAUUGUGAAGACAGAGAUUUACUGUAAAUAUCAGAUCUCGUGAGUUGAUUGCCUGAAAGUAAUGUAAUUUCUUGAUCAAGCCUCAAGAUGUUGAAGACUUUUCUAUCUAGUCAGUAUGGUCGGUCAUAUGUUUUUGUAAGCUUGCUCAACUUUGUGAAGUUGGAUGGCUUUAUUGUAUUGUAUGGAUGAAAUCUCUGAGUUGUAAAACAUAAUCUACGAUUAAACUUCAACUGAGGAUUGAUGUUGGAGAAUUUACUAUCUA